UUAGCACAGUCCACUGGUGUAAGGAAAGCUGUAACAUAUGCUGGUCUGGUUUAUUAUGAGGAAGAUGGUGUAGAGGAUUUGGUGACUUUUACUGCAGCUAAGAAUUUAGAAGCACUCAUUCAUUAUAUUGAGCAGAAGUGCUCUCAAGCUAAAAUUGGACCUGAUAUUUCCUUUAGUUUCAAGUUUCCUUAUGAUUACAUUGAAUUAAACUUUACUGCACCUCAAAAGAAACCAUUCACUGGAUGGACACUUAAUCCUCACACUGAUCCUUGCAGAUUAUAUCAAGAGGCCAUUGAUAAAUUUGGUGAUAAGGAGCAUUCUCGUCCUUCAUGUUGUCUCAUAUCAGUUUACGGAUCACCUGAUGCUGUCCCUUUUCUUAAUUACUUCAUACCACUGGAAGGUGUGGCUCGUCCAGUUUCAUUAAACGUCCAUAAAGCACAAAGAAACUUCACAGUUCC